CCCACCUCAUUAUGCCACCAGACUCACCACAGAGAGUGCACAGAUGAAAACCAAGACUACUCCACUGCCUCCAGGAUGGGCAGGAUGCACAGUUCUGAUGCACUUGUGCACCUAUUCAGAGGAGAUUUUGCUGGUUAUCUCUAAAAUUGAUAAAAUGUGCAGCUUGGAGAACAUAAGAAAAUAUUCACAAGAUUCUUUAUAAGGAAACCUAGGAAGUCUUCUUCAGAAAGCAAAGGAGAAGAGGGUACUGUGCAUCAACCAUAUGAAUGCUGGCAACUUGAAAGAAUGCUGUAACAGCUGGACCUGUUUGCAAAAAGCAUCUGCAGUGUCAGUACAUCCAUCAAGACUAAACCAAUCUACAGCAGUAGAGCCAGCAUUGGUCAAAGGUACUAAACUUUAAGACCUUAAGCCCUCAAAAUGACAUGUAUCUGUAAAGCAAGCUCCACAGAUCCAUGCUAUCUCACCUCAGCUUUAGUCUGAAAGCAGCAGAUCUAAAGAUAAGAGGAGAGGUCAUGCUCUGUUGCCACAAUUAAAAGCAGUUUAAAAUAUGUUAAUGAGGAACAGAUUUUCAGAAGAAUUUAGUACCAGGAAGAGCAGAAUGAUCUCUGCUCAGAGGUCCUAAGAUCUUAGCUGUCAUCAAGGUACCUGACGGUCAACACUUUUUUGUGAUCCCGUAGGGAACCAACUCAAGGUUGUGAGUGGCCAAAUAUCUCUAGCAAUUUAUCUCCAUGUUCUUCUUCCAGUAUUCUGCCCCUUAUGAAUAUAUAUUUAGAUGCAACAAUAAUUGAUGCUGAGCAUUAGUCAGACAGUGGUACAUUUUAGGCCUUGACCGUACUGUUUGAACUGCUGACCCUGAGAGAAAAGGUUUUAUAUAUCAUUCCCAAUUCCCUAAGUCUCCCUGUCACUGCAAAGCAAAUACUUGACUUUUAUGGAUGGAUUCAGUUUCAAGUCAGUUGUUUUUCUAAUGUCUUUUUAAAGUUACAAAAGUGGCUUUCAGGGAGCAUUUGUAAACAUAGGCACAUUUUUCAGUACAGAUCAUUACCAGCACAGACAGGCCUUUUUGUAAUGUAACGUAUGGUUAGCUUUACUCUUUCUGGUAGAGUUCUUUAACCAAAGUAUUACAAGACAAAUCCUCCAGAUCUCUAGACUCUGUCCCCCCUUGACCAUGAGCACAGCCUUGCAGUUGCUGCAGCCAUGCAACUCUCAUCCUUCCCCAGAGAAACAACUUUCUACAGUUACUUUACUUUCUUAGCUACUCUUAUUGGAACAUUUACAUUCUAUAUAAAUAUUUAAAGGCACAGACACAAAGCACAAAUAUAUUCUCAAUUUUAAGAUACACAGUAACUACCAUUUUCAAAGCUAUUAAAAAUGUAUUACAAUGGAAGGUAUUGUGGACAGAGUUGCAAUGUAUCUGUACAUAAUAAAAGGAAGUUAAACCCAUAUUUUCAAAUAAUAGGAGUUAGAAACCACACUAUAAAAAUGAAACCUGCUAACAGUAGGAAAAGUAUGCCUGAAUAUGAGCAAAUAUGCUUAGUAAAAAAGAAAAAUGAAUGCAGAAAGAGCAGUUGAGAAUAUGGUUGUAUAGUUAAUUAGUUCUCAAAUAUGGUAUAAACUGGAACUGUUCUCUACCCAUUAGUUAAGUUCAGCAUUUCUGCUCCUUCUAAGUCAUUCAUCCUGUUCUAUAAUUGUAACUCAGCCACCGCUGCUGCAGAGUCAGUUGAAGAGCUACUGCAUUAACAGAUUGCAUGAAAGGAAUCUACUAAAGGAAAACUGGUAUUCUGAGCUCCUGAAAUCUUUUGCAAAUGUUAUAGCUUUCAAUCAUGUAAAUUGAGUGUUAAUUUUACCACAAGGGAGCAGUGGCCAGCAACUCAGGAUACUGUGUUGCAUACAGUACUUUAGAUAUGUGAGUUUGUGCUCUAAGAGUUGCAGUUCUACCACGGUGCUACAGCUGAUGGAAAAAACAAACAAAUAGAAUUAAUAGAAACCAGAUUUACAAAACAAACAAAC
rnacentral:lncRNA from 7 species